rnacentral:rRNA from 1 species
AUGGGAAUGUAUUGCCCAGAGUGUGCUUUCCAGGCUAGGGGGCAAGGUUUCUUCUAUAUCCAUGACUAUUGUUCUGCUGAGCAAGCUAGAGAGCGUUCAUGCAAUGUCGUCAUCACUGUCUUGAGGGGAAAUCCUACUGUUAAACAGAUGAAUGACACAUUCUUCUUGUAUUUGGGUAAAACUUGGAGGUGUUCUGCUAAGGUGCUGGAACCAUGUGUUUUUCUGAUGAGGUUUCCUAACACUAGAGAGGUGGAGAAAGCCUGCUACAGUGAUCGCAUGACUAUGAAACCAUGCGGUAGUGUAGUCAGAGUUACUCAUUGGAAUCACGAUGAUGGCGCUAAGGGAAUUCUUGAAAAAGCUUGGGUUAAGGUGGGUAAUAUCCCUAUUGAUAUAAGGAGUGAGAGAAAUGUCGCUUUCGUUGCCUCUCUUGCGGGAGUGCCUCUAGAAAUUGACAUGGCCACUCUGCAUCGGCCUGAUUCUGUGAGAGUGAAACUGGGAUGCCGUGAUGUCGAUGAGAUCACUCCAGUGGCUGAGUCAGUCCUGGGGGGGAGUUUCUAUGAUAUCACAUUUUCUGUUGAUCAAGUGCUGGUUAGAGACAACAAAAAAGAGAGCUUCAAAAACAAGACUCCUGCUGAACAGGAAGAACCCUCACCAAAAAGCAGAAGAAAACGGUUGGGGGUGUGGAUCCAAUGGGAAGCUCCUCGGCUGGGGGGGACUGUUCUGAGAGAGAAAUUUACAAAGGGGAAUGAUACUGGCCCUUCCGAGUCCCCUCUUUCUGUCAAUUCAGACAGCUCGAACCACGACACUCUCCUGAUCCACUCCACGGAACAGGAUGCUCUUGCUGAGGUAGGAAAGGAUUAUCAGGGGUGUAAUUCUGAGAUACCUACUCGGUUGGUUGCUAGUCCUAUUGGCAGUGAGAAGAGGACCAAGACUUAUGCUGAAAAAGUUAAGGAGAACAUACAAGUGACUGAAUUGGAAGGGACUUUUGGAGCCAAUGAUGAUUACAAGGUCGAGUACAGUGUUCAAUCUCUUGACUCAGCUCUUAACUGCUGCGUUGAGGUGAUUCCCACACCUCCACUUGUUUCUAAAAAUGCUCUCAGGUUCAGUUUGAGAACAGCUCGGACCAAUCUGGAGAAAGUGGAGGACAGAGCCAAAGCUGUCAACAAGAAGAGAGAUCUGGAAGCCGCCCGUCAGGCCAGGCCACGGCCCAGCCAAGCGCUAGCUGGCACUCGAGGACACCAGCCCUCAGGCGCAUGA